GCAGUUCCAGUCCAGGCUGAGCUGCAGGAACGAUAGCUGCUCGUUACCUGAAGUUCUCUGCUGUUUUGGGUACAACAUCUGCGAACAGCUCGAUCUUCAUGCGACCGACCUCCUGAGGAGACAAGGGCCAGGCCCCUCCUGACGUAGUCCUUCUCCUCUGCCCUGCGAGCCCCUCCCGACUGGCCCAGUGACCCGAGAGGCCCGCCAUCCGGCUCCUGGCACCGCCACUCCCAGCGCUUCCAGUCGCGGCCCCGCAAAGUCCCACGUUGACCCCCUGCACCGCCCGUGCUCUCUCAUCCCCACAACACUCUGAUAUCCGCAAUAUCCCCGCAAUCCCUCCCCGGGCGCCGCCGCUCCCGGUCCUGGAGCACCCCCACCUGCCCGCCGAUGGUUACAUCGAAGAAAACCACGGGGUUGUUGGGAUUCGCUGCCAGCGCCGACAUUGCGACUACCACUGCAGGAAGCGGAAAUGGCGACGGAAGUGGAAACGCCGACGAAAGGCGAGACGGGCGGGAGGUGGGGGUGAGGUUGUCCGGGAUGUCUGGGAUAUGUGUGGUGCGUCCAGACCGUGUCUGUGGUAUCCGGGUGGCGUCCGUAGUUCCAUCCAGCUCGGACUCCCCAGCGUAGACCGCUGCUCGGCUGGGAAGGCUUGCCCGUUCAUCUCCCUGCCCCCCCGGGCACACGCCGGCUGAACAUGAGCUCAGUUGUGCCCAGAUGGGCAAGGAGGCCAAUAGCACGUGAGCUGUACCAGCCACAGCGUGGCCAGUGGAACCAGGGCAGUGACCGCCCAGCUGUGGUGAGGCACCUCUAGUCCUGGAGUCAGUUCUUGGUGCUUCUCUACGAAAAAGACAUUGUGGGGCAGGAGUAUGUCUAGAAAAGAGAAUGGAACUGUGGAAGGGUCUGGAGCACAAGAAACAGCUGAGGGAACUGGAAGGACUCAGCCUGGAGAAAAGGAGGCCCGAGGGGACUUUCUUGCUUUCCACAACCCUCUGGUAGGAGGAUGUAGUCAUGUGAGGGUCAGGCUCUGCUCCCAGGGAACAAAGGACAGGACAAGAGGGACUGGCCUCAUGUCCUUGCAGGAGGUUGGACAUCAGUAAGAAUCUCUGUGGAAAGGCUCAUCCAGCCCUGGCACAGAUUGUCCAGAGUAGUGGUGGAGUUCCCAUCCCUGAAAGGGUUUAAAAGCCGUGUAGAUGUGGCACCUGGGGGCACAGUUUAGUGGUGGCCUUGGCAGUGAUGGGUGAGCAAUUGGUUUCAAUCCUCAGAGUCUUUUCCACUAAUUCCAUGAUGGCAACAGUUAGGUCUGUGCUUGUUUACAAGGUUUGAUCAGCUGAACACUGCCUUUGGGAGGUUUACAGGCCUCCUUCAAUGUUCUGACUGUGCUUGAGCAGAAGUCGUGCUUUCUGUGGCAGAAGAUGAGCAAGGUAUGUAAACAAGUGCACUACAACUUUCCUGCUUGGAAAGAGACCUUUCCUGGACGAGAAUCCUGAUUUGGAAAUUGUUAUGUAUGCACUCAAUGGCUGAGUGCAGCUGUCUGUGUACAAUCAGUGCUGUAGCUGGGCCUUGCCUUUUCCUUGUGGCAAGAGAAGGCUCUAGCGUGAAGAUCAGCCCUGACUCGGCUUGUACAGAACUGGGCUGGCGCAGAGCACUUUUCUGCCACUGAAAUGCCAAAAUAGCAGUGCCUGCUUUUGGUGAAUAAAGGUGAUCUAUUUCUACACCUUCAGCCUGUGAUUGGUGACAGUUUUCUCAGGGCAUUUCCUAACAACUCUAAAGACAAUUUUUGAGUCUGUUACUGUUUCCUGAGGGUGAAAAUCUGCUCAGUGAUUUGCAUUGGUGAAUCCUUCAGUGUGUCCCAGCUGUGGUUUUGCUUUAAAAACCCCUGUAAUUCAUCUGAAGACACCUUUUUUUGCAGGCCAGGGGUGGGCAGUGGUACAAGAUGAAUGAUGCCUCAAGACAUCUCUCUGCCAAAAUACAUAUUUGCUUUUCUAUGCCAGGUAGGAACAAGUGUGAAAGGAUGUUCAGAAUAUAUUCUCUCUUGUGUUACUGAUCUUGUUGCUGUUCUUCUCUGAUGGGUUUUGCUUUUUGUCAUAGGAGAGAAGACUGUUUGUCCAGGUGAGUUCUCUUUGUCCUGCAGUUUGACAGGCCAUUUCUUCUCCCUUGCUGUUUGGCACUAAACUGGGCUUGUGUAAAUUGCCAGAUGUGUGCUCUCUGAGACGGGCCAUCUAUGAAAAGGGGCAAAAUGGACAUCUGAGAGCAUAAAGAUGAGUCACUUCCGGAAAGGGACAGACAUGACUGGAAAAUAGUGAUCUAUUUUCCAAAGCCUUGUGCUGCUUCAGUCUUCUGCAUGUCAGGUGUGCCAGAAAAUGACAGGCCUGAAGCUGCAAGGAGACUGCAAGAAAUCAAGGAGGUGGAGAAAGCCCACACACACUGAGGAGGGGGAGAACUUCAAUAGAAGCCAGCCAGGCAUUCCAUGUCUCAGGAAGUGCAGGGCACCCUCACCACCAGCUGGGACAUGGCCAUGGGAACUUUCUUCAUUCAUCCUCAAGAGAGGAGGACUAAAAAGUAGCAACAUUUGCAACAUUACAGCAGUUUGCCUCACUCUUUGCCAAUGAUUUCAGGUGCAUGUGGCUUCUGUACAGACCUGUUCAGUACUGGUCACCAAGCUUCCCAGCGUAACCUGCCAGUGACCAUCAAAGGCUGCAGAUAUCUCAGAAGAAUGUUGACCUUUUUAAACCUGACAUUUAUGAUUGAAACAAUAAAACCAUCAAACCAAA